CAGUCGCCACGGUAAUACGGAGGGUGCAAGCGUUAAUCGGAAUUACUGGGCGUAAAGCGCACGCAGGCGGUCUGACAAGUCAGAUGUGAAAUCCCCGGGCUUAACCUGGGAACUGCAUUUGAAACUGUCAGGCUGGAGUCUUGUAGAGGGGGGUGGAAUUCCAGGUGUAGCGGUGAAAUGCGUAGAGAUCUGGAGGAAUACCGGUGGCGAAGGCGGCCCCCUGGACAAAGACUGACGCUCAGGUGCGAAAGCGUGGGGAGCAAACAGGAUUAGAUACCCCGGUAGUCCCUGUCUCUUAUAC
rnacentral:rRNA from 1 species